CAUAAGUUUGGUUAUAACAUUAUCAAUUAUUUAUUUAAUAUUCUAUUAGAAUUCUCACCGACAGUGAUAAUUAUUUUAAACCUCAAAGCCAUUUUCCUACCUUCAAUAGUAUACAUGUUCCAUCUUUCUACCUUUAAUAAUAUUUCACUUCUUUUUGUCUAACUACCUAUUUUUAACUACUUAUUCUAAAGCAUCUUUUAACUUUCUAAAUUUUCAUAAAUCUUAAAUUUAUUUACAGCAUAAAAUUACUAUUCAUGAUCAUUUAAGUUCUUAAUAUCCACCUUAGCUCUAUUCUUCAAGAGAUAUAACAAGACACUGUUCAAUUAUACAAAUAUUAUUCUCCUCUAUUCUUUAUAUUCAAAUUAUGUUCAAAUUAUAUUCAAAUUAUAUUCAAGCUAUAAUUUUCCUAAUAUAAUUAUCACCUAAUAUAAUAGCAUUUCAAUCCCAAAACCACUAAUUUCCUUUGUUAUCUUUUACUUUUAUUCUAUUAUACUUGGUCCAUAAGCUUAGUCUAGCUUAUUAAACAUCCUACAUUUACUAGGAUCUUAAUUAUAUCACUCAUGGAUCCAUAACUCUUUCAAGACUUGUAAACCACAAGUUUUCUACACUCAUGAAAUCCCAAAAUAUCGAAGUCUUUAUCUUAAAUCCGCUGAUGUAUCAUUAUUCCUAUUUUCAUCGAAUCUUGUUACCCAUAAUCCCUAAUUUAUUAAACCUCUAAAUAUUGACUAUCCUCAUUUAAAUCAUACUAAUUUAUACUCUUCACGUUUCUGUAAUUGAUUCUUUUCUUAAUAUGCAUACAAUAACAGGACUAGAUCCAUCCUUACUUAUCUAAUUCAUUCGUAUAACAUCAAGUCAAUAAUUGGACAAUUAUCUCUCCAUUUCCGAUGUCAUUCAUCAUUACACUUAAUCAUCAUAGCCCACUAUUUACAUAACAUAAGUACCUUAAUUCCCUUAUAGAGUCGUUCCUCAGAUUAUAGAAUCUCCCGUUAAACAAAAAUCAUUGUUUGUCAUUUACAUACGAUCGAGUGUACAACUAUUUUAAACAUCAAAAGACUAAAUACCAUUAGAUUUUAUUCUUCUUUAUACUAUAUUAAACCAUAAAAUUUCACAAUCCACACAAUAUCCGUCACUAGGUACAUAAAGAUCAAAGUAAUUUAUCUCUUACUAAGAAUCACAAUUUACUUUUCUUAUAACCACAAUAAUUUAUAUUACUCCCUAUAUAUACACACUAAAAAAAUGCUUGAUGAAUAUCACAAUAUACUUUACUUUAACAAGCAGUGAUUAUUCAUAAAUAAAACUCACUUCAUAUGAUAAUUCCACCAAUAUUAUUCUUUAUGAAAAAUACUCACCACCAAUUAUUAUAGCAAAUCACACCAAAUCCUUCAAUANNN
rnacentral:lncRNA from 1 species